rnacentral:lncRNA from 12 species
CUUGAUGUUCUAAGAACACUCAGUGUUCUGUUGUCACAGAGAAAGAACUCCUCUACUGUCAUAUAUUCUCCCUGGCUCUUGACGUGAACACAAGCCCAGUCUCGAGAUCGAACAUAUGUUAGCUUGUUUUGUAUCCAUGGCUAGAACCUGCAGAGUAAAGUUCUAUGACAGUUUAUAGGUGGCAUGUGAGGAUCACGGUGCAGACCCAAUGAGCCCAGAAAUGCAGCCCAGUGGACAGAAUGCAGCUUCCUUCCCCUGCUUUCCAGAGCUCAUCAAAUGGUGCCGUCAUGCCAGCAUUGAUUGUGAACAGAUUUCAGGUACUUCACCUCCAUGACCCCCUCGGAUCAGUGUGACAAUCACUAUUCCCGUUGGAGAGAUAACGGGACUCACAGGGAUAGCAGGAUUUUCUCCAAUAGAGCAGCUAUCGCUUAGUCAACCCUGUUAAUUUAGAAAUAAACUCUUCUUGCUCUCUCCUUCA